rnacentral:rRNA from 1 species
CCUACGGGUGGCAGCAGUCGAGAAUCAUUCACAAUGGGGGAAACCCUGAUGGUGCGACGCCGCGUGGGGGAAUGAAGGUCUUCGGAUUGUAAACCCCUGUCAUGUGGGAGCAAAUUAAAAAGAUAGUACCACAAUAGGAAGAGCCGGCUAACUCUGUGCCAGCAGCCGCGGUAAUACAGAGGUCUCAAGCGUUGUUCGGAAUCACUGGGCGUAAAGCGUGCGUAGGCUGUUUCGUAAGUCGUGUGUGAAAGGCGCGGGCUCAACCCGCGGACGGCACAUGAUACUGCGAGACUAGAGUAAGGGAGGGGGAACCGGAAUUCUCGGUGUAGCAGUGAAAUGCGUAGAUAUCGAGAGGAACACUCGUGGCGAAGGCGGGUUCCUGGACAGUAACUGACGCUGAGGCACGAAGGCCAGGGGAGCGAAAGGGAUUAGAUACCCCAGUAGUC